rnacentral:tRNA from 1 species
CCCCUGGAGGUCCAGUGGUUAAGACUCUACACUUCCAAUGCAGGGGGCUCAGGUUUGAUCCCUGGUUGGGGAA